rnacentral:rRNA from 1 species
CAGCAGCCGCGGUAAUACGUAGGUGGCAAGCGUUGUCCGGAAUUAUUGGGCGUAAAGGGCUCGCAGGCGGUUUCUUAAGUCUGAUGUGAAAGCCCCCGGCUCAACCGGGGAGGGUCAAUGGAAACUGGGAAACUUGAGUGCAGAAGAGGAGAGUGGAAUUCCACGUGUAGCGGUGAAAUGCGUAGAGGUGUGGAGGAACACCAGUGGCGAAGGCGACUCUCUGGUCUGUAACUGACACUGAGGAGCGAAAGCGUGGGGAGCGAACAGGAUUAGAUACCCCUGUAGUCCCUGUCUCUUAUAA